CACACGGGGACGAUUUGCAGUCUCGCACGGCCCUUCCCCAACCUCCCGCGCCAGCCACCGUCGGCCGCUGCCCUCCCCUCUCCAAUCCCCUGCCUCGCCCACCUCUGCGCGCUGGCCGGCAAGCUCCGCCCCAUCGUGGUCCAGGCUCGCUGCAGUCUCGUCUCAGUCAGGCACUCAGGCCGGCGUGGCCGUCGAGCCAGGCCAGGCGGCCGGCUGUGGCACUCCAUCGCUUGAUCUGAACUUGCCUGUUUCUGAGCUGCCGUGUUGUUUCUUCUGGUUGUUCUUUUGGUUCACAUUAUUGUUGUCUAACACAAUAACAGAAAUUCAAACAAAAAUAAUAGAGGAUGGUCUUCAGCGAGGACAAUCACCUGGAUGACAAACAAUAUGUUCAUCGGAGACAUUUGAACUAUUAUUUUGAGCAUUUCCUGAAGAAAAAAACUACGGGUUGUCACAUGUGUGGCCUCCGGUGCUGAGUGGAAGCUUACGAUUGGGUACUGAACCCCCGAAAGGCCACCUCCCAGGCUGUGCUGCAGCGACGUGUGCACUGCAUCCUGCUGGCCAACAUUUGCAUCGGUGUCGACACUGCUGCUGCUGUAGAAAUCUCACAAGCUUGCCUCAUGGAGCGAUCUAGUCAGCUGUAUUGGGUUGGCUCAAUCCAAGAAAUAGUACCGAGAAAAAUGCAAGAAGUGCAGUCGUUCAGCGCGACUAGUCCUUGUGUUGACCUUUGAGGCUCCUGAUGGCAAGCAUGUUUGGCACUUACUAAAAAAAUGUAUGAAAAUGAAGACACUUGCAUUUGUACCCACAAGCAGCAUUGCAACGAGCUGUGAGUUCUUGCGGCUGGCUCCUACGAUUGUCACUGCAAGUCAUGCUCUUCAUUGCGUGAAGCAGCCGAGCACAAGUGCACAAAAAGAAUAAAGGUGCGGAGAUGAAGAGCUCACUUUUCCUAAUCCGUGGAGUUCAUUUCUCCUAAUUCGUGAGUUUCAUGUGCAUAAAUGUAGCUACACUGGGG